GGGCAGGGGAGAGUGGAUGGGUUGGGGGGUGGAGGAGAGAAUUUGAGUUCAUUAAACCCUACUUCAUUCACCCACCUAAGUAAAUACAGAAAGGAUUGCUGGCUGCUUUUUUUUGGCCUCUGUCUCUUUCUCUCUAUCAAGGAGUGCUAGGUGGGGAGAGGGGGGGGGAAGCAAGCCAUCACAGACACCAUGGCACCACUAUGUCCAUGACCUGUCUGCCAGGUACAAUUCCAUUAUGAAAAGUGUGUCUGCUGAUGCUUAGUUAGGUACCUAAUAAUUUAUUCUAUGUUAGGGGGAGAAACUGUUCUUAGCACACAUUGUGAAUAAGUAGUUCCUGCUGCCAAGAGGUUCCCCUGUGCUGUAAUUCUCCAUCCAGUGAUGGUGGCUGUUGCUGGCAUAGCACUGCCAGUCUGUAAGGUCAGCGGCAGAGCAUCUGCUUCACUUGCAGAAUCCCUGGCAUCUCAAAUUGGGCUGGCGAAAAGAUUGUCUGAAAUCCCGGAGAGUUUCUGCCAGUCAGGGUAGACAGUACUGAGCUAGAUCUUACUCCAUAUAAGGCAGCUUCAGCUGUUUCUGUGUUUAUCUGCUUCUGUGUGAACUCUUUGGGUUUGUUUUUGAUCCUUGCAGAGUACCAUUGAGCAUAAUAUUGUUCAUUACUGAUGUCUAAAUUUUCGUUUUAUCGUGUGUGUGUGUGUGUGUGUUUUUAUCCUGACCUUCCUCAUAUGGUUUCCCCUCACAACAAACCUAUGAGGUCAGUUAAAGGUAAGGUAAAGGGGCCCCUGACCAUCAGGUCCAGUCGUGUCCGACUCAGGGGUUGUGGCGCUCAUCUCGCUCUAUAGGCCGAGGGAGCCGGUGUUUGUCCACAGACAGCUUCCGGGUCAUGUGGCCAGCAUGACAAAGCUGCUUCUGGCGAACCAGAGCAGCGCACAGAAAUGCCGUUUACCUUCCCGCCGGAGCGGUCCCUAUCUACUUGCACUUUGAUGUGCUUUCGAACUGCUAGGUGGGCAGGAGCUGGGACCGAACAACGGGAGCUCACCCCAUUGCAGGGAUUCGAACUGCUGACCUUCUGAUCAGCAAGCCCUAGACUCUGUGGUUUAACCCACAGCGCCACCUGGGUCCAAUGAGGUCAGUUAGACAGAUUAGGACCAGCUCAAGUGGAGCUUCACAUUUGGGGGUAGGGUGGAUUUGCGCAUUGCUGCCAUUUCUUUUCUCUCUCUUGCUGUAUGUUUGCUAUUGCAGUGUCUCAUUUUGUCUGAGCACAUUCCAACCGGUAUUUCAGGACUUUUUCACCCCAGUGGGAGAGAUUUUAAGCAUUUGCUCAGCCAUCCCAGUAAAAUCAAGGAGACAUCAAUAUACAGAACUUUGGUUGGAUUGUGCCAAUUAUGUUUUGGCAAAAUCCCCUCUUGCUGCACUAUUUGUUGUAUUGGUUCUCUUCAGUGUAGUUUACUGUGGUUUGGAUUCUGGAAGUUUGUCUGUGAGGAACAGAUGUGAGGUGACCCUGCACUUUCGCAGCUCUUUCAGUUUUGGUGAGUUUUAUGAGAAUGAGUUCCCCACUGCUGCUAAAGAAAUAAUUAUUUCUCUUUUUGAAGCAUACAAUUUUAAUUGCAUUACAAAUGAAAAACAAGUUGGUUUCCUUUCAGACUAAUAAACGCGGUUUAAUAACAAACUGCAAGAAUCAACUGGAAAAAGGGGGGGGCGAACAAGUCAAAGUCAAAGUGAACGUUUUAUUUUUUGUGUACGUCAUUUUAAAAGAUCAUUGAUAGAAUGAUAGCAUUGCAAAAUCUGUACUUGCCAUAGUUUGACUUUAAAAUUCAGUUCAGAGCUGGACAAAUUUCAAACUGCUGUAGGCAGAAUGACAUUCAGCCCUAUAAAUUUACUCUUCAUUACUACAGCGACCAGGCAGAAGGGCAUCCCAGUACAGUAAGAUAUUCUGGUAGGUAACAUGUAUUAGUGAUAACAUUCAAUAAGAGGAAGAGAAUAAUAUAAAAGGGGUGGGCAGACUUCAGGCUUGACAGAUCUACCAACGAGAGCCAGGUGCAAAAGGUAUACAGUUAGAAUUAAAAAACAAGAGUGCCUCUGAGCAUGUUCUGUUUUCUGUAUGGGGCCUGAACUGAGCUCACAGUUCUUUCACACAAGUCAAUUCCUGAAAAGUCAAUUCAUUUCAGCAAUCUGAUUUAGGUGGGAAAAGUCAUGUUGCUGUUGUUUAGGUUGAACAGCAGGAAGCCAGAGAACCUUGUCAAUCUGCUACAAACCAACCCGAGACCAGUAAAUUCUGAUCUACCUUCUGUCCAUUCCUGUUACAGGGAAUCUUGGAAACUGAAAACUAUCAUUUCUGUUGAUGAGCAAAAUUCAGACUUCUUAGGAUAGACACUUGGAGACGAAAGGCAGCAACUAUAAUUGAGCUGUUUUUGCCACAUAUUUGAUCAUCUUUCUGAUUCAUAGUAUUAUAUUCUCCUUUCCUUCACCCACAGCAAAACAAACUUAACUUGAUUCAUACCCUUAAAAGGGGGGGGGAACUAUCCCCAAACCUGAAUUACUCACGUGGUUAUGAUUAAGUUUUUGGCACAGAACCUUGCUCCCUUCAGCUCCUCCUCCUUAUACCCUGAUGACUCCCUGUCUCAGUCAUUGAAUAUUUACACAACUUCAUUUCAAAACUCUCAUUGAGUAGCUUUUUAAAAUGGAGGAUUAAAAAACAACAGUGUUUCCAGAGAGUUAUGAUUCUUAAGUCUACAGACGUUGACAAGUAUAAAGGGUAGGAGCAUUGACAAGCAGCUGUACUCUAGUAACAUGAAAAAGUCUUGGCUCAAUAUAAUACUAUCGUAGUAGCACUUUAAAACAAAAGAGAAAAAAGGGACUAUUUCACAAAAAAAGCCUAUUUCACAAAAAUAAUGAUACAAACAAAAAAUUAUUUCAGUGAGAUGAAAGGAGGAAUCUUUGUAUUUCUAAAGUAGCAUAAUUCUUGUUUUGGCAAAGAAAUCUCUUAUGUUAAGGUUAUGCUAAUGUGAUAUAUUUUGGGGUAUCCCAGGUGGGAAUGUGAGCUGUCAAUUUUGAAUCUGUGCUCAACUCCCUUUGAACUUCUCCUUAGCUUGCCUGGACAAUUGCAGGUGAAAACAAAAUCUGCAUUUUCUGCUUGGGUUGAUGAGCUUUCAGGGGUUCAGAUCUGUUCAGUGGAUAAUCUGCCAAUGGUUCUUUCAUAAUGAAAAUCCGUGUGUGUGUGUGUGUGUGUGUGUGUUUGUAAAAACACUUUGUGGAGGAAGAAAAACUUUCCAUCCCAUAAAGGAAAUUUCAAGGUUCCUAACAACAUGCAUGAAAACAGAAAUCUCAAUAAAAUAGUGUAAAAAAAACAAUAAACAAGUAUCUAUUCGUUACAGUAAGUAAAUCACAUAGAUAAAAAACAUGCAAGUUCAGCUGUGGACUUGCUUGCACAAAUGAGGGUGGGUGGAGAAUUCUUACUGCUUUCAUUGGGUUUCCUGUGGGUGGUGGGAGGGCGGGUUAUUGGUUUGGUUUGUUCUUGUUUUUAUUAUGUAUUUUGUGUUUUUAUUUUGUAUUUUUAUGCUGUGAACUGCUCUGAGAUCUAGGGGUGAAGGGUGGUUUACAAAUUUUAAAAAUGAAAUAACAAAACAUAAAAUAAUAUUUGAAGUGUUAAAAUUUUGUUUUAAAGUUUUGUAAGUUGUGUUUUGUUUAUAUUAUACUUUCUGAGCCACUUUGGGGGGCCUCCUCUGGCUGAAAGGCGGCAUAGAAAUAAACUUUAAUGUAUACAACAUACCUGUAAUAUGAAAGACUAGAUAACUAUAUAACUACAGCUGCCUGACAUGUUCAAAAGCUGCCUAAUGGAAAUCCUACUUGGCUUUUUGGAAAAGUUCACUAUGUGUCUGUUGUCAGCAUUGUCUUUUUAAGGUGCAUUUUCACAGAAACCUGGUGUUUUUUUUUAGGAUGAAUGUUGAGAUUCUUUGCUUGGUGCAGCCCACCUGGUGUUGCCUUGUGAUAUGGGGGCUUCUUCGUAGCAGUGCCCAGCUUAUGGAGUCCCCUCCUCUCUUGUGAACUGCAUCUGUCCCCCUUAUUAUUAGCAUUGAGGCAAAAGCUUAAAACGUUCCCAUUUACACAAGAAUUGUCAAAAGACAUUGCUUCUAGCAACUUUGGAAUUUUUUAGCUGUGUGGAUAUUUGGUUUGUCUGAAACAUUUUUCAAAACUUUGGAUUGUUUUUAUUGCCUUGUUCCCUGCUACCUAUGGCUCAUUUGAGAGGAAGGGCUAUUAUUAUUAUUAUUAUUAUUAUUAUUAUUAUUAUUAUUAUUAUUAUUAUUUCUGUCUCCAGUGCUAAAUGUGGUGUUCUUGUAUUUUUGGUAACUAUACAGUAAAUAAAUAUGUGAUGAUACAGAUAUGCAUAGCCCCUACAAUAGUCACCCUAAUAGUGAAUCAUAAAUACUUUGUGCUAGAUUAAGAAUAUAUCAGUUUAUCAUUUUAGAUUUCUGACCUUUUAAAUCCAAUUUGGUUCAUGUGAGGAGUUACAUACCUAUAAUAUGUAAUACUUAUUGAUUUGCUGAAUGCAGGUUAUUAGAAUUUGGAUCAGUUUUUUUUUUAAAGUAAAGCCACAGUAUUCACAGUAAAGCCACAAUGGACAAGCCCUUCCAGAGGGGUCCCAUCAGCCACACAAAUAGAGGAGGUAGCUUCCCUUUGCAGUUCCUUUACAAAGAUAUGAAGGAAGAAGAGACUGUGGGAAGAAGUAAAGAGGGCACUUGCUUUUUCUUCUCACACGCUCCUCACCUUGCAGGUGUUCGGUUCUCCAAAGAUGAAAGACAGGUACCAGGUGUUUUUUUUUAAUGGUUCCUAAUUGGGUAGGGCUAAGAAUUCUUAGUCACUACAAGAGACAGGAAUGUGAUACAUAUUAAGAAACAUCUCUCUUAGUACUUUUAAGAGAACAAGGAAGGAGCCAAACACCUGCAAGGAGUGAGGGAAGCAAAGCCCCUUGGGGUUGCAUGCAUGCAUUUUGUAUACAAAUUUAGGCAAAUAUAAACUUCUCUUCUAUCUUCCAUAUAUUCGUUGGAUGCUGGUCUCUGCUUGCAGAGCCCCAGCCGCAGAAUGUUAUUGAAAAUGUAAUUCACCUACCGGUAGGAGGGACUUACAUUUUGAAUGUUGCUAAUAUGUUUCCUGGUUACUCUAGUUAUACUUCUUUGUUUGCAUAGAGUAAGUCUCUUGUGGCGUAAGCUUUCAUAGGUCAGAUGCAUCAAGCAGCCCGACAAAUGCAUUUUUACCCCAUGAAAGCUAAUGUCACAGUAAAUAUGUUAAGUCUUUCAGACCAAAAGUUGGCAAAGCCUUGACAUGAUAAUAAAAAUGGAAAGCAUUUAGUGCAACAUGUUUUAGCAAAGCGCCUUCUUCAGAGGUGCUACAAGAUAACAAAUUAUAUUUCAGGAUACUUAAUAUAAAAGUACCCAGUAACUCAAUUUGAACAAAGCACCCACAAGCAUAACAUGAAAAAAUGGAAGUAUUAAAAAUCAACGUAAUUGCAUAAUAUAAGCCUUAAAAUGUUUUUGAAAGUUGAAAAUAUGUUAAUAAAAAUUAAUGGUGACUAAUACCCAGAGCAUGAAUCAUAUAAAAUGUUUACGAUUUAUUCAGCACCAAAAAUGUAUAUAAAACAGAAUGUGUGUUUGUAGUGUGUAAAUAUUUGGUUUAUAUAUUAUACAUAAAAAGACAGUCUGUAACCCUGUGCUCACCUAGAUGAAUUCAGUGGGGCUCAACUUUGAAUAAACCACAUUUUGCCACCCUGGUACCCUCCAAAUGUCUUGGGCUGCAAAUCCCAUCGGCCCAGUCAGGAUUUGUAGUCCAAAACACCUGGAGCACAUCAUUUAUAGGAUUGCACUAUAGGAGUAAAUAAAGGGAGGGGGGAAGAACAAACAAACAAAUACAAUUAUCUGCUCUACCUUGUCACUACUUGAUUAGUAAUUUAGUCUAUAAUCUUAACGCCACUUACUGGGAGAAAGCCCUAUUGAGUUCAGUAAGACUUCUGCAUUAAUAUGGUUAGGAUUGCAUUGUUAAUGUUUUGAGCAAUUUCCUUGUUUAAUUUUUUUUAUAAUCUAUUUUUAUUAAUUUUCCAAUUAUAAACAAUUAUAUCUCAUUCAUUAUUUCAAAUUAUACAAAUACAUUAUCAAUCAAACCGAAUGUUAUGCCAAAUCAUCUAAAACUUUUCGGGGUUCCCAUGCUUCAAGAAAUUGGGGAUUCCUCGCAGCUGCUCACUGCCGUCUUUUUCUAAAGUCCAAAUCAUCACUCAAAGUCUAUUAUAGUCCCGAUCUUUCCCUUACAGUCACAAAGAUGUUUUCCUCUCAUCCGAUUUCCCCCCAGCUGCUGAGAUAAGUAUCAAACGAGAUUUCACAUAUGUUCUUUCUCCUGUGUGAGUUAAUCAGUCCGGCCUCCCCAUAAAUCUUCUUGGUCUGGAGUGUCCCUGUUGCGUCGGUCUUUCAACACGAAGCAGCGCCAUCUUAGAAAACUCAGAUCACUUUCGUUUUCUUCCCAUAACUAUGUAGAUUAACGAUCUUUAUAAAAUUUACAGCUUUUCCAGGCAGGAGAUCCAGCUGUCACAUUAUGCAUAGACUCUUGAUAAAUUAGUGGCUCUCCUUGCCCUAUAGCUGAACUUAGCUUCAGGUCGCUGUUCAAAUUCAAAGUGCGUCACACCCCAUAAAUCUUCCGAACGCUUUCCAGGCACUCCUUAUCCAGUUAGAGGGGGGCUUCUCUCAUCAGCAAUUUUACAUCUUCAAAAAAUAUACUCAGUAUCAACAGUUUAUAAAGUUCAACUCACACAGAUGUCUUUUAUUUCUCGUUCGUUCCAAACAAGCCAGAACAUCACGUCCGGGAAGGUAUGAAGGUAACUCAUAGAGUAUAUGCAAAAAAUAAAAAAGACUCGCUUCCCUUGUCGUUCCGUCCCCAUCAAUCCUUCUUCAAGAUAAAAUACAGCCUUUGACUCCUCACCCUCAGCAGCGCAAAUUCCUCGGCAGUAAACAGAGCUUCUGCCCCUCCUUCUGAAGCAUGUCCAUGAAUUUAAAACCUAAUUAUCUUCUUUAAUCAUGGAGAUCCCCGCUGUGCAGUUUGGCGUCCGGGAGUUCCGACAUUCCUCAUGAGUGCUUUCAGCCCAAGCCUCCCCCCACUCCUUAAACAAUCGGAGUGGUUUUGGUGGCAUCGCGGGCCAGCGGCCCCUCUCCGUAGCCCCCGGAGAGGUAGGGGGUUGCCAUUUACUCCCCUAGCAACCGCCAAAUUCCUCAUGAAGGUCGGAGGGAUGGAAAACAGGUCAGCCAUUCCUGCAGGCGGAAACCGGAACCUAGCAAUUUCCUUGUUUAAUAGGGAAACACUUUAUGGAGGGGUGAUGAUAGGUGCUUCCGCCUGAUACUUCUUCCCAUUGAGCUCGCUCCUAUGUGUGGUACUAAUGGAUGCUCUACCACUGCUCCCAACUGUCUUGUGGUUCUAUUGCUAAAUGCCAAUUCCGUCUGUAAUAAAACCAUGCUGAUCCAUGAUGUGAUUGUUGAUGAGCAUGUAGAUCUGAACUGUAUCACCAAGACCUGGGUGGGGGAGCUGGGUGGACCAGAUCUGACUCAGCUCUGCCUACCCUGGUACUCCAUAUGACAUCAGCCCAGACGGGAGUGGUGGAAGAAAGUGUGAAUGUAGUCCAUAGGAGUCCACUUUCCCAUCACCAGGAAACCCAUCUCUCUUUGAGCAGGGCUGUAAGGCCUGCAUCUGGUGUUGAGCCAAAGAGAAAGGUUAAGGAUGCUGUUGGUGCACAACCCACCCUGCUGCUCAUCCCUGAGUAAACUAUGUGAGGUUGUCUUGGGUGUGGUGUUGGAGGAGCACAUAACUGUGGUUUUGGGUGACUUCAACAUCCAUUCUGAAAAUGUCUAAGGUUCUACUCAAUAGUUCAUGGCCUCCAUGCCAGCCAUGGCCAGUCUCAAAUAGUCAUCAGUUCAAUUCACAUACCAGAACUUACCCUUGAUUUAAUCUUCAUUCCAUUUGGGGAGGGGUGGUGUGGAAAUAGGGUGUGUGACAAUUUCCAUAGUCAGUCCAUUUCCUGAAGGGGUUUGGAUUUAAGUAGUAAUUAUCCAUUGCAAGGGUGGGGAAUCUGUUAGGAUGGUCCACUCCUAGAAACAGAUAAAAUCUGAUUGACUGCUCUCUCUCUCUCUCUCUCUCUCUCCCCCCCCCCCCUGGUGAACACACAUGUUAUCCUGUUGAGGUCCCAUUUUGUUCCCUGGCAUACUGAAGGGCUGUGGUCCAUGAAAUGGACCAGGCAUGGGCUAGAGUGUAAGUGGCAUAAAUCGUGCUCAGAAGCAGACCAGUCUUGUGUUUGGGCUCAUAAUUGGGCUUACCACAUGACGGUGAGGGCAGUGCUUGAGGAGUUGUCCAGUAGAGUUGUUCAAUAUGGUCUCAAGGCUGCUUACCCCUGACCAGGGGCGAAUCAGGAGAGGCUUUGAAAGUUCUGGAUUGGUGUCUGAACACAGCAAUGGCGUGGAUGAGGGUCAAUAAACUACAUGAAUCCUGGGAAAAUUGAGCUGCUUCAGGUGGAUUCCUAUUUCUAGGAGAUAGGUUGCCUGUUCUGGAUGGCAUUGCACACCUUCUGAAGGAACAAGUCUGUAGUUUGGGGGUACUCCUUGAUACAUUUGCCACUAGAGACCCAAGUGUCCUCUGUGGCUACAAGUGCCUCUUACCAGCUUUGUCUGGUUUGCCAGCUAUAGCUAUUCUUGGACAGGGAUAUCCUGACCACUGUAGCCCAUGUGUUAGUAACCUUGAGGUUGGGUUGCUGUGGAAUUCUCUGCCAACAGAGAUUCAGCAGAUGCCUUUUGAUUUCUGAUUUUAAAUGUUUAUAUGAUUUUUACUGCAUGGCUGUAUAUAUAAUAUUUUUCAAUGAAUUAGUGGUGUAUAAAUGUUUUUUUAAAUAAAAAAAAUAGCUAAAUGCCCAUCCAACCCGCCCAUAUAUAUACCCCGCCCAUCUGGCCGGGUCUCCCCCGCCACUCUUGAGUGGCUUCCAACACACAUCAAAAUACAUUAAAAUAUCACAGACUAAAAACUUCCCUAAACAGGGCUGCCUUUAGGUAUUUUCUAAAUGUCAGGUAGUUGUUUAUCUCUCUGACCUCUGAUGGGAGGGCAUUCCACAGGGAGGGUGCCACUACCGAGAAGGCCCUCUCCCUGGUUCCCUGUAGCUUUGCUUCUCGCAGAGAGGGAACCGCCAGAAGGCCCUCAUGAGGGAAAUGGUUGAGGUUGAGAAUGGGCAAGUGUGCAAGUUAAGGAAAACUACUUUCUCAAAGCACUGGAGAUAAAAGAUUCUGACAGCUUAUCUUGUGCAUGUCCAUUCAGAGGGAAGACACUUUGCUUCCUAGUGUUUUUGUUGAAGCCGAUGUACACAAAGUUGGAGCCAGAGUUACCUAAAUAUUGUGAAGAAAGGAGCUAGGAAGGGGAUGGGACAAAUCUUGAUUCUGAGAAAGUCAGAAGGGAUGGGGUGGUGUGCUGCGCAAUGCAAUCUUGGUCUUCUGCUCCCUUGACUGUAUAACAAGAUACAGAGUUUUCUUGGAGCAGGGUGCAGACGUAGACAUGGUUCUUUCUUGGUUGUAAGAUAAGAAUGUCCUUGGAUCUGAAAUAUUGAUGGGUUGAGACAGAUUUUUAUCGCAACCACGUCUUCGUUUAUAACAGUGUGUUAUGUCAUGCAGGAAAUUGCUGAUUCCCCCAGCUUUACAGCCAAUUCUCUCUGUGACAUAGAAUCACAGCUGCUGGCUGAGCAGCACUGAAGUUGCAGUGAGAUGCAGUUCCUUGUUAUAGUUGGUGCACGAUCCUUAUAUUUCUGUAUUUGGGCCACUAGGAUGUUAAUAUAGAUGGGCCUCAAGAUGCUCAUCUGGAGUGUGAUUUAUAGAAUUCUAUUAACACACUAGUUUAAAACAUCAUAUAAUUUGUAUCAUUCUUUUGAAGCAAGAGAAGGUUUUAGGUUGCAAAAUUCUAAUUUGGUUUAGCGUUCCCAAAGUAUCUUAUAUGGUUGGAAAUUCUGUAAAACGGAGACACCUUUUAUAAAAGCAGCACUCCAUUAAAAAAAUCUAUGUCCUUUUUCUUUGAGAUUGUCCACAUUUGAGAAUUAUUUCACCAUUAAUCCACUCCCCCCACCCCAUUCAAAUUAGACCAGAGUAGUCCACACCUGCAUGUAUUAGAAUUUAUAUAUGAGGAGAAACUUUGAUAUUUCUUUGCAUGUUUAAUAAAUUCUUCUUGCAAAUGAUACUUCAUGUAAAGGGGGGGCAUCCUGUUUACUGAAUUCUAGCAAUAUUGAGACCAAAAUUGCGCUGUAAUCUCUAAAUUUCUUCUGUGCCUUGGGCACCUGCCUAAUUGUUGUGUUUUUUGCUGUUUACAAUUUGCUGGAUGAAGUGCUCUUUCCUGUGAUAGAGGUUUUAUGGGUGCAAGAUGAAGCUGGCUGUUUACAUCAUUAUAUAUUUAUUUAAAUGUAUAGGCUGAUGUAAAGUCUUGUAAGGUUAAUUUAAGGUGGAUUUGUUUGUAUUUCUUUGCUUCUUGUUUUACUAUGUUUUUACCUUUUCAUUCUGACGUGUUAAGAAUUUACCUGGAGUAGUAGAUGGAUUUGUGUAUGUGUGUAGAAUCUCAGUAAGAAAGUGAGAGCAGUGUGUCUUACAAGACAAUAGCUCUUUUAUGGUGCACAUGUUUUAAAUAAAUACACAGUCCUCAGAACUUGUAAGCAGAUUCUGUUAAAAAUUGAUCUGAGUUCAGUUUCAUACAGAUUAUCCUUAGAAUUGUACGAAAACACUAUUCAAAUUUAAAUUACCUUGAAUUUCUUCUUAAGUGUAAUGGAUAAGAUUUAAAAGAAGCUUUAAAAUAACUUUUGAAGCUUUUGUUUGAUUUAAAGACAUAGCUUGAUAUUUAUUUAUAUGCUAUACUGUGGGUAUUACCAAGAACUAUCAAGUACUAACAUGCCUUGAAUCAAUUCCAUAUCAUCAUUUAUGAAAGGCAUUUGUUGGCUUUAAUAUGUAUUUAUUUAAUAUGUAUUUAUUAUAAGGUAUUUAUUACAAGGGCAUUCUUUCAUAAUAACUUAAAGUUAAAUGCCUUUAUUUCCAGAAAUUAUUUCCCCCAAAAGCAAUCAAAAAUAAACUGGGAAGGGUAGACUAUAAAAGGGUGAUGUGUUAAAAUAUUUUUACUAAGAAAUAUAUAUGGCUGUAAAGUAUGUCUUGUAUAACACCUAUAUUAUACAAAUUAGCUAACUAAGAAUACUUAGCAUAUUUCAUUCUACUGCAACCAUGUGACAAAACUAAGUAGUAAUGCAUCUGUGACAUGUCAUGGUUGCACCAAAGUGAAAUCACAGAUAAUAUAUUUGGAAUUUGACAGUCCAGAGUUGGUUGAUUGGAAAUAAAUCCUGAAAUAUAUAAAUAGGUGUUUCUCUCGGGGCAUUAUAAUUUUUUCAUGUAAUUUGUAUGAAGCUGAGUUUUAAUAGGAUCUACAACUAGGUUAUUAGAUUGGUUCAUAUGUAUGCAUUAAUUUAUUUGCCUUCUAAGUCUGGCUCUUGCUCUAGUCAGGCAGGUACCAACAUGGCUGUCUAGAGUGAUCCAAGAUUGUGAUGUGAUGUUUGCACACAUUUUGGCUUAUUCAAACAACAUUUUUCUCUGUGGCAUGUUGUGAUCUGGAGAUAAUUCUGGUGUAAAAAGAAGUUACUCCAUGACAAGCUGUUCUGGUUUAGUCUGGGAUAUCAAAUUUCUGCAUUGCUAUCUCAGGAUAUGAAAGCACUCCAGAGUAAUUUUAAUGCAUUUUCUGAAUAUAGCAUAAGGCUUUUUGAGUCAUACCUAUAAGGGGUUACUCUUUCCCCUGCUAAAGAGGGCUGUUGUUCUGUGGGGGGCGAGGCAACCUGAGUCAUCUCUUAUGGUUUGUCCUGGCAUAUGGUUCGUGCCCAUAAAUUGGGAUUGGCCAACUAUAGCAGGAGGACGAAACAUUACAAGUUACUCCAGUUUUCACAGCAGCUGCGGUAACCAUAUGAUGCUUUUAACCGAAUGCAUAUCUUCGAGUUCAGAACUAAAUUACAUAUCUCAUAUAUUUUGACUUUAUUAGAGCAAUACUGAAAUAGCUAUUUUACAGCAUAUAUAAAUCAAUGUUUUGUGGAAAUUUGGAGUAGCAGUACUUAAAAAGUGAUUUCAAGCUAUUAUUGUUUGAGGCUAGUUAAUAAUAGAAUUAAAUGCAUGGAAUGAAAUUCAGAGUAGCAUGAAUUAAGGGUAACUGUUUUUCUAAACAUGAGAAUAUACUUGACUGUCACCAAUCUGCAUAUAAAAUAAUUAUUGAAGUUGAUAUUCAGGCAUAUACACACACACACACCUAAUUGCGUUCAUGAAGAGUAAAUAAUGUGGUUUGUGGUGGUGCAAGUUUCUUUCCUUAAGAUCAUAAUGUUGUUAAUCGUACGUGCUUGUUUCUAUGAAAUGGAUCAGUUUUAAGUGAUCACUAAUUAAGUGAAAGCAGGAAAAGUUGGCAGACCAGUGGGCAGCAUAAAUAGGUGUAGUGUAUUUAUAAAACAAGAUUUUAGGGUUCCUGACUAAUUUUCAUGUGUAGUAGACAUUGUUCUGAAUUUGUGUGUCUGCAUGAAGCGAGGGAGUUUCCUGCUUUAAAGCACUUAACAGCAGUCAGCCUGGGCGUUUUCAUUUUGUACUCACUGCUUCCCCCUCCCAAUGAGUGUCCUUUGUGUAACCCCAACUAAUUCAGAAAUCUCUCUGCUGUAGUGAGGACUGCCCUGUCAUGUGACUGAGGCAACUAGUUGCAGCCUGUGAUUGGGCAAGAGCUAAUUGGCGGCUGUGUAUAAGAACUCCCUGCCUUAGAGUUAGUAGAAGCUUUCUUCGCUCGCAUUGCUUAGUUACAUGUAGUUUGUAAUGAUGAGACUAGGCGGUGAUUCAGCAACAUGUGAUAAAGUUUAACACUCAUGUGGGCUUGACCAAGCCAAAUGGUAGACAAUAAAGCCAGCUGCAGCCAAUUUGGAUUAAUGAGCGUCACCUUGGAGUUUGGAAUGGAGUGCUGGUGAUUCUUUACUCUGGAACAUAACUGUAGGGGGAGAAACUUUCAUGCUGCCUUCUGACAAAAGCAUUUUGUAAUCUGUCUUGUCUAGCUGUAGUGCUGAACGCUUUUUAGUUAACGGAAGCUGUAAAAUCUUUUCACCAGGAAGUAUUAUUUGCUCGGAAUGGGUAAGUGAGAAGUGGUGCUACGUACUGCAACAAAUAGUCUGUUAUUUUGUGUUUAAAAUUAUGUCCAGAUUUUCAGGUUUCUAAUUAAUAACUGAAUUGAAAUGGAGAAUAGAAAUGAUUUGUUCAAUCUGUUUUGGUGUAGCACGUUUUAAAAAAAACAACGUUGAGAUGUUUCUGUGGUGAUAUUUUAGGGAAGAGGCAUGCAACUGAUUGAAAAGGUAAAUGUUUUCAGGAUUUUUUGUGGGGAUGCGGGAAAUUGUUAAUUGGAAAUUGAAUAGUAUGUUCUUCCUCCAAUGCAGAACUUUUUUGUACUGUCUGGCUAAAUGCAUAAUAAGCCAUCUUUAGAAAUGAAAGAGACUCUAGUUAAACUGCUAGUUUUUCUUUCCACUGACUACUUGCAACAUACUUUCUGACAGGAAGACAUCCUGAAAUAUCAGUCUGUCAUGUUCUAAUACAAAAAGUUAGCACAAAUUGCCACCCCAUUUCAAUAACAAUUCUUUUAUUUUUUAUAAAGUGGAGCUUGUUGAAUAUGUUGACACUAAUGCUGCAGAGAAAAACAAGUACACAGUACAGGGCAUAAAAAACCAGAAAGAGUGUUCAUAAUGAAGUUGAAUGCAGUUUUCAGUAUAAUAAAAAUGUCAUGAGCUAACAGAAAAAUAUUUUUCUCUGUUAGUCAUACUUCCUUCAAUUAGCUCAUUUUCAGAUUUUUAUUAGAACAUGUUGUGUUGAAACAAAUAGAGGGAACAAUUACCUUUUAGUCAAUAACGUUAAGUUUACUUAAAUUGCGGGGUGGGAGAAUCCAGUAGACUUCUGUGUAGUAAUGUCUCACCUUUAUUUUUCAGUUUAUUUUAAUUAUACUUUUGAAGAAAAUGACUUAAUUGAGGCUGGUCUAGGUAAAGACUGUGUAAGAUGUUCUGUCUCUAGUCUUAAUCAGUUCUUUUCUCUCCCCUCCCCCCUGUUUGUAUAGCCAGGGUUAAUUGUUUUAGUGAUGUUUUCAGAACUCCAUUGUUUGAGACACAUGGCAAAAGGUAGAAAGGAUCUGCUUUUGUUCUAUAUUUUUCUAACACUUUUCAGAAUACUGUAGUUCCUUCUUUUUUCCAGAUAAGGAGUCCUUUCAGUAAAAAUAUAGAUUGCUGUCUAAAAGGUAAAAAACUAAGCAGGAAAUUCUUAAUAAGAGGAGCAAUAAAUAAAUAAAAGGACUUUCAGAUAAGCAUGCAUUUUAACUGCCUUGUUCCCUAGUAAAUCAGGAAGAAUGAGAACCCCACCUUGGCACUCAUUCCUGUUCUAGUUAAGGUGUGGCCAAUGAACACCUGGAAAAGGCUGCUUGCUGGUCUUAAGCAAACUGUUUGAAAGGCUUUACAAUGUAUUUGCCACUCAUAAAAGAUAGCAUUAUAAGUGAAAACUUCCUAUGUUAGCAAUCUAAGAAACAGGUAAUUUUAUCCAUGCUCCUUCCACAUUCUUGCACUUAAAGGAAGCAAGACAUAUUGCCACUCAAAAUUAUCUUACCUUGUUUGAUCACUGCACUUCGAAAAGUCUCUUCAUAUGAUGUACCUGUUUUGAAGUAUUAAAGUGAAAACAGAGUUAAAUGCACUCCAAAAGUGGCCUUCUCUGAUCCCUAAUUUUUCUUUGAAGCAUUGUAUUUCUGUGGUGAAUUUCAAAUCCCACUUUGACCUCUGAUGUAGUUGACAAUGAGGAAGACUUGAAAUGUGAUUUUAAUUAAUGAACAGCAGUGCUUUCAUAUUCCGCUUGCCAGGAAGAUCCUCUGAAAAUCUGGAUGCUGGAGAGAAUGAGUGAAAAAGAACUUAUAAAAGAGCCAUUCUUUUAAACAUUGACUGGUUGGUGGUUGCUAGAAAAAGUGCCGCUAGAAUUACAGCAAUUGUAGUCAUAAAUAGAUUGUCCAGUUUAUUUGACCCACAUAUGUGUGUUCUGGUAACACACAGUAUUUAUUAUGUGAACAAAGUCAGAUAACAUUAUUUGAGUACCUCUGUGGAAGUUCUGAACUCAAAUGUUGUUUGAACCUGUCCUCAUUCACAAGAGCAAUUAACUCGCCCCUCUCUACCUAAUAAUAAUAUGAAUGGUUCAAGCAAUAUAGAUUCUUCUCUUGCAUCUUUUCAUUGCUGGGGAAACCACUGCAAUAUACAGUGGUGCCUCGCUAGACAAAUUUAAUUCGUUCCACGGGUCUUUUCUUAUAACAAAAAAUUCAUCUAGCGAAUCCCAUAGGAAUGCACUGAUUUUUUUUUGAAUUUUUUUUUGCCCAUAGGAACGCAUUAAUUGAAUUUCAAUGCAUUCCUAUGGGAAACCACGAUUUGCUAGACGAAUUUUUCAUAAAACGAAUUCGUCUAGUGAGGCAACCUCCGCUCGAAAAAUCCUUUCGUUAAGAGGAAAUUUCGUUAAGCAGGGCAUUCGUUAAGCGAGGCACCACUGUAACUUGAAAUGAUCUCUUUAGAAAAUGAAUAGAGUUGGUGUAUGGUGCUCAUCUUCUACCAAUGUCCUUAUCAUGAGUACCUUCAUGUGGAUUUUGGUGCCACCUGAUCUGCAUUUACACCUAUAUGAAUGAAAUAGCAUAACCAUUUUUCGUAAUAUUUGGAUCAGGGUUUUAGAAUAUCACUUUAAAAUAUCGCAUCAUUUUUAUAUCUGUUUUACAACACACAAAAUACACUAUGCUGUGUGGGACUUUGGGUGUUUAAAAGACAAAGUUGGUGGCUCAUUUGUAAUCACCAAAGGAUCAUAAGAACCAAUUUAGUGUCAAUAAAUCAAUAGGGUAGGCCAAAGUGAGUCAUGGCCUUAGCUGUUCUAGGAUAGGCGAUGGUUGUCUUAUCAAUAGGCAAAACCUGUCUUAUAACAAUCAAUAAAUAGAUAUAGAGCUCAGAAGUCUAGCAGCAAUGUCCCUACUUUUCACCCAUUCCUUAAUGGGCAAUUAUGUACGCAAUGAAAAAAAUUAAUUAAUUUUUUCUGGCUGUCAUCUUCCAUAAUUCCAUGUGCCAUUCCAACUAAUAUACCAUAUCUAUCAACUGUUUGCCAUGCAGUCCCAGCUCUAGGGGUAGUCCUGGUGGCGCAGGGCGCAGGGCUGGCAGGCGGGGCGCUGUGCGCGGCGCCCACCCACUAGGGCGGGGGCGCCGGAGUGAUCUCCGCCCGUCGGGCGCCAGGGCACCUGACCUGCUUGAGACUGCCCUGUGGCCAUGACUAGUACGAUAUGAGCAAGUUUCCAUUUCUUCUUACUGCUGGAGAAAGGUAGACCCUAUUUAAUGUAGACCUCACCUUUUCACUAUGAUGUACAAAAUUAAUGGAGCACCAAGCACCUCUGGGAAUGCAUUCAACUAACAUGGUAUGACAGUAGCAUACAAAGCAGGUGGAGCAAGCUGUUAGAAGUGGCUACAGACUUGCUGAUUCUGUAAGCAAGUCAUGUACAGUGGUACCUCUACUUACGAAUUUAAUGCGUUCCGAACGCACAUUUGUAAGUCGAAAAAAAUUGUAAGUCGAAUCCCAUAGGAAUGCAUUGGGAGAAAAAAUUCGUAAGUUGAAGCAACCCUAUCUAAAAAUUCGUAAGUAGAAAAAAUCCUAUCUAAACCGCAUCCAAGAUGGCGGACAGAGCUCCAUUCGUAAGUAGAAACAUUCGUAAGUAGAGUUAUUCGUAAGUACAGGUACCACUGUAAUCCUAAAGGUGUAAAGUUGCUGGUUUAGCAAUAUAUUUUUCAUUUUCUGUAAACCGCCUUAAAGAUUUUAUUUUUAUACAACCUAGUGGUGUAUAAAUUUUUUGAAACAAAGUAUUAUAGAAUGCAUAUUGCAGUAGGGGAAAAUGGCUAAUGGUUUUGCUCUUCUGAGUUGUGUGACAUUUGCAAAUUUUGAAACAAGUCACACAUUAAUCACACAUUUAUCUUCUUAACUACCUGAGCAAAUAGUAUCCAUCUUCCUUAAGCUUUCUGGGAGAAUUCUUUGAAAAGUGAUAAAUAUAUAAUUUUUGUGGUUGUAGUAGUUCAGCAAUAGUCCUUCCUGAUUAAAUUCUAAUGGGUAAAGACUUCACAGUAGUUAAGCAUUUCUAAUAUGGUCUGGUUGUUCCUUUUUAAAGAAUUAGUAGUAUUCUCAAGUCCAAGAUAGUUCACUUUCAUCCUGUUGAUUGAACUAAUAUAAAAAUAGAUGCCAUCAGCUAUAAACUAGGCUACAGUCCUAUUUACACUUAUGUAAAUUAUGCCUUAUACAGAAUGGGCCUUACUUCUGAGUAAAUCCAAGCCUAAUAUUACUGUCGUAAACAUCCAUCGCUGUAAGUUCUAUCAGAAUUCUCUUAUUCUGUUUUGGUUUAAAAGCACAGGGAUUUUAAGGCUUAAUGUUACAAUUUUCCAAGUAAUUCAGAUAAUCCUCAAAUAUGUUAAGGUGGAGUUUUCCAUAUGGCAAGACCCUCAGAUGUACAGUCCUGGCACAGCUGCAGGAACCAUUGUGUCCACUUGCAGUUUUUAGAAGUCAGCAGGCAAAAUAACAUUCCCUUAAGCACUUUCUGCACUAACUUUUUCCUUUCUCUCUCAAAAGCAUUCACUAAGAUUUAGACCCAACAACAACAUGUGCAAGGCUAAAUAUCUUGUGUUCCAAUUUAAUCAAGUUACUGUACAUCAACUAGAUUAAUGUUCCUAUUUGCUUCUUAAAAUUAUUUCAUUUAUGAAUCACUUCCUGUGAAGCAUCUCAUAGUGAUCCCCCCCCAAAAUUUUUCCUUAUAAUCUGAAAUACUUAACCACUUUCCAUUAUGGCAUUGCAUUUGCCUACAAUGAAUGGAACACCAUAUGCAUUAUCUUGCCUUUUACUUUAAGUUUAAAGACAGAGGACAGAGGCUAAGUGAUGUGAGGAAAUGCAUCCUUCAGGACCAAAAAGUGCAAGAAAUUCCUCCCUGCUACUCUUAACGAGUGCAGAAGAUCUGAGGAGCCACAGCAAUUGCCCUGAAGAGGAGAGGAAGUAGGGAACAGCUUCCAUGUUCCAGUUAGAAUACCAAUGAAAAUAUGGUGUUGAAGGAAGCUGUAGUGCAGGGUUGAACUUUGACUCCAAAGAGCCAGCAUGGGCAACUGUAAUGGAUGGUGGGAACUGCCCCCCAAACAUUUUGACGACCACAAGAUCCGCUUCCCUUGGCCUUCAUGCCCUUGGCCUUUCCAAAGUUAGGUUAGUGACCUGGCAUGACAGAAGUGAUAAUGCCAAAGUUCCACAUUAAAAGGAGAGGAAUUUUGACAGAGGCAUUGGUGCUUUCUGUGGGUGGGUGGAAACACACCAGGGACUACCUAUGUGUUUUCUGUUGAAGUUAGGAGUGCCCAAGCUCAUUGAUUUUACUGGGCUUGCAUGUAGAGAAGUACCCUAUAUCUUACUUAGGAUGGGUUCACAUGUUACGUAUUUAGGUCCUGAUUCAUAGCUUUGUUGUGCUGCACAAGAUGUUUCUGUGCUGGUACACUUGUAGACCCAGCAAAUAUCAGUUAUGUGUGGAUUCUAGGAAUCACAGGGUUGUGUAGCAGUAAUGCUGCUGUGGCUCGAAUAAUUCAUUUAUAGCUCUUGCAGGAAAUGCAGAUCAUAGCACCUUAUUUUAUCCCAGCUCGGAAUAGAGAAGCUCUGGUUCUGUGGUGGCAGAUUUCGCUGUUAGGUAUGCUAGCAGGAGUAAGAUGUAUGGCAGCACGGAAAAAUCGUUUUACUUACAUUGGUAUGUUUCUCUCUUUUUAUGUCCAGUAAAAGUUGUCUGCAAUAACCUUUUGCAUAAUAUCCAUCUCUCUUUAAAGAAUUAAUGAUGCAUCUCUAACAAGUAUCUGCAAAAAGUGUAGUGUGUGUAGUGUGUGCCCCUUAAUUUUAGGUACAAAGGUAUUAAGUAGCAAUUCUAUUAAAAAUAUUUGGAAUAACUGACUAAACAAAUAAACUAUCCAGUAAAUAUAAUUUAUCAAAACUUACCUGAGCUAGACCUUCCCUAGCCCAGGUGUAGUUUGUGUUGUUUUGAUUAGAGAUGUAUUAUAUAUGAGAAAGUUACUCUAAUAGCCCAUAGGAUUCAAUCCUAAAGAUGUUUAUUAAGAAUUAAUACCCACUGGCCUUAGUGAGAAUUACUUUUGAGUAAGCACACCUUCCAUUGGGAUGCUAAAAUAACUCUAUUACUAGUAUUCACUGCCAGUGAAAUGGAAUCCAUGCUGAUGAUCCUUUUGAAAUGCCAGUUAUUUGCUGUACUGUAUAUUUUAUAAUCUUUUCUCCAGUGGGAAACACACAGUGGGAAAUUCAGUGUGUUCCCGGGAUCUUUUAUUGCCAGAUUACAUUUUGUACAGUGACAAUUAUUCUGUAUUCCUAAUGCCAGUCUCAGUAGCCCCAGGCAAGUGCUAGUCACAUAUUAAGUUUGACAAGCAAUUUGUGUUGCUUUUAAUUUCCUCUGGUUUUCGUGUCAUUUUUCCUGAACUAUAAUAAGGACAAAUUCAUCUCAGGAUAUGUAGCUCUUUGAUAUGGGGCUAUCAUACUUUGAAGAUGUCUACUAAAGAAUGGGGAAAAGAACAUUCAAUGGGCAUUGAUUGUCAUUGUGUUUUUAAAACAAAAGCAGUUUAAAGCUGUGUUUCCACUGGCUUCAAACACAGCCAGGAUUUCAGUUCUAGCAUAGAUGCGUUUAUAGCUCCACUUUAGAACACUGCUUCGAGUUUUAAAGACAUUAUAGUAUUCUGGCUUUUUAUGACAGUCACCAUUGACUGUCACUUAUUGCUGAGUUUUUCAGAAGCUCUUGCACUCCCUGGAAAAUCCAAAUAAAGAUUUAAUUCUUAAGGAUGCAGAAAACCCAUUAUGUUCUUGUGAACACGAAAAAAUAAUUGUUUAGACAUGGGUUCAAUGGGCUUGAAAAUCAGCACACUUGCUGUAUAGUGGUGAUUUUUUCAGAGGAAUUAUUCAGUAUAGCUAAUACCAAACAAAACAGUUGUAAAUUGAUGCUCAAUUAAGACUUAGGGGUAAAAUCAAAGGCUUCACAUAAGAAAUGAGUUUUUAAGGAAGGUUUACAGAGAUGGCACAACAUGGGUAUUCUGGGAGGAUAUUGCAGGUGUGAGGUGCAUCAAGGAUGAAUUCAUUUUUAAUAGUCCUACAUUUAUCAUCUUACUUUCUAAUAUUGCUGCUUAUAUUUGGAAUCCAAGAUGCUUUACCUUGGGAAUGGUUACAGUGUAGGUGUCUCCAGCAGCUUAGUGCUUUUUCAUUUUCUGAAUCCCCCCAAACCCCAUCAUGAUUCUAUCAACAUUUCCUCAGAUUUGUUCCCAUUUUCCUUUCAGGUCUCCCCAUCCACUUGUACAUAAGCAAUUAACUUUCUGCUUUUGAGAUUCCCUUUCUGUGUGGCAUUCCUGUGAAGACAUCCUUCUUAAGGAACAAGAGAUAGGAAGCCUUUGACUCUUCAGAUUCUAGUUCUGAAUAUACUUGCUGUUCUCUCUUUCUUUGGAAUGCUCAGAUCGGCUGGCCUGGAGGUUCUCAGUGGUCUCUACCAUAGAAAAGUGGAACAGACUUCUGUCUUCUUUCUCACAUGGGCUGUAAUGUAGGCUCUACCCCGAAUGUAGGAUGUGGUCUUUCUCCUCAUUUCUCUCUCUCUACUUCCUUUGAACAUGGUGAAUGUGAGGAUUGGUAGUUUGAAAGCAUCCCCACAUGAUGAUCUGUCUGUGUGUGCAAAGCUACCACAUUGAAGAGGACUGCACCACAUGCCUGUUUUCUGCAAUCUGCUUGUAAUUUCUACUACUUGUGCCUUCAAAUAGUGAUGUGUUUUUCCUUCUGCAUCCUUUUCUGUUUCUUUAUUUAUUUAUCAUUAGGUGAUGUAGCAUUCAGGAGUGGUUUAUCGGUGUUUGUGUGUUGUGUAUUAGAAGGUACACGUGCAGUUAACUGUGUAAUAAUAAAUCAGGGGUUGCUUGUGUGCAGUUUGGGUUUGCACCGCUUUCGGCCAUCUUUCUUGCACUUAAAUUUCAGUGGUAUGUGUGCCAGUUUUAAGUGGUAAGUGGGUCUCCUACUUUGACUCCUCACUAUUCCUGUCUGUAACUUUGGCCAAAAAAUCUCUAAACUGAUUACAUGUUGAACAGGCAUUUUAAAAUGAGUCAGUUCCUGUUCUUUUGGCUGGAGCUUCGUUGGGAGUUCUCAAAAAUGGUAUUUCAGAAUGUGGAUGUGGUCAGCCUAGUCACUUUCAAAGCAUCUUAAAGGAAACCAACAUCAACUGUGAAAAGUGAACUUUGCAACGGUACUGGUAUACUCUAGAAUGCCUUCUCAAUCACAAGGUGCACUGCAAGUCUGUCUUGCUUUGGGCUAAGCCUUCCAUAGUAUGAAACAGGUUGCUUCUCAGUCCUAAUCAUUUCAAAGUUGUUGGCAAAAAACAGAUAAGAAUAAGAUAAGAGUGAAUGUGGUGUAGUGGUUAGAAUGUUGGACUAGGAGCAGGGAGACAAGGGUUCAAAUCCCCUAAUCAGGGCUGCCAGGCCUCCACAUUUGGCUCACCAUGCCAUUCUUGCCAAACCACAACCACCAGCCAAGACCCUUUCACAGUAGGGAUUGUAUUGUAUUUACACUGCAGAAGGUACAUUUCCUGCACAUAACUAAGAAGUUUUUUUCUAGUUCCCGGAAAGGAGUCUGUGUACUAAGUGAAAGCAAAUAAUUAGAUGUCAAAGCAUACAGCAAAUGUACAAAUACAUUCAUAUAAAAAUGUAAACAGAUGUACAUUACUCAUGAAGAAGUAAAACUUCCUAAGCAGAUGGCAGAAGUAUUUACGAUGGCAAAGUUCUUUCCUGGUAAAUGCUUAGACCCUUAGAAGUAAAACUUCCUAAGCAGAUGGCAGAAGUAUUUACGAUGGCAAAGUUCUUUCCUGGUAAAUGCUUAGACCCACCAGUGGAAACUUCUGCACUCAUUCAUUGAAGAAAACUUGUUCAAAUGUAAGUGCCAGCAACAAUGACCAAAACUUGAUCCCUCAAAACAAGUUUUCAUUUGCCUUUUCUGGGCUAGUUGUAGUACAUAGCAUUCCAAAAGAGCCCAUUUAAUUGCAGCACAGGAGAAAGAGAAGAUUUCCUGCAUACUGUGAAGUAGUCUCCCUUAAAAGGGAGCACAAGACACCUGAACAAAAACCACCAGAUUCCAUAGAGAGAGAAGUUCCUGUAGCAGGUAAAGCCACUUUACACUGAGCAGAAACAGUUUUGUGCUGCAGCUACCAAAACUUCUUACACUAACUGUGGAGAUUGCAGAAGCAGAAGCCAUUUGGGUCCUUCUGACCACAGCAGUUCCUUCUCUCCCUUGUCUCUUCCUUUUGUGAGCUAUCUUUAUAGGGAGGCUGAGAUGUAGUGCUGUCUUCUAAUGCCAAGGUUAGAGAGGUGUCCCAUAUCCUAACACUAAUCUGUGUGCUCACCUGCCAAAAGAUGGCUGCUGGUGGAUUUGAAGGCAGAGUAAUUUAAGGAGGCCCAGUUUGAAAAGUUUUAAUCACACAUAUAAUAUCCC